AAAGUUUAAACGGACGACAUACUUUGAAUUAAAUUAUCUCAACAGGCCUCCUUACUUGUGGGACUUUUCUGCUAUGAUAUUAUGUUGAAUUGUGUGAUCAUUUCGUUUAAAUGCUUUAAAAAAAGCAGUCUGAUGCACUAAGCUCUCGUUAUGUGCGGAGUUCGGGAAGGGCCGCACCACAAUGUCUAUUGUACGCAUUCUUACCCUGGAUUUCUGCCGGAAACAUUUUUCAUAUCUUGAACUUAUGACCUCCUGAUCACAUGGCAGCACCAAGAAAAAGUUCACGUAGAGAAAAGAGAUUAAACUAGUCAUUGCACUAGUAGCGUCUACGAGCCCCCCGCUUCGGCCCCAUCUUUUCUUUUGCCAGUUACGCCGAGACUCCCACUCGUUUAGAUGCUUAAUAUAUAUAUAUAUAUAUUUUUAAAAGUAGCUCGGUUCACUAUGAACUACAAGGAUUUACAUUACGUAACCUUAUCUCUCAUUUGCAUAUAAAAAGUUAAAUUUUUAGCUCGGUUCACUAUGAACUACAAGGAUUUACAUUACGUAACCUUAUCUCUCAUUUGCAUGAGGAUGUUUUCACAGCUCGAACUCAUGACCCCUAACCACGUGGCAAUAACUUUAUCACUUAUGCUAAGCCAUUCGAAGAAGCAUAAUUUAAUAAUAUUAUGUGUUUCCAUAGGUACAAAGAAUGCCUCAAGAACCAUGCAGCAGCAAUGGGUGGAAAUGCAACAGAUGGAUGUGGUGAGUUUAUGCCAAGUGGUGAAGAAGGUACAAUAGAAGCACUCAUUUGUUCAGCUUGCAAUUGUCAUAGAAAUUUCCACAGAAAAGAAAUAGAAGGUGAGCAGCAACUUCUUCAACUACAGCCACCACCUUCCUCUUGUGAUUACUAUAGUCUCAACAGGGGAGGAAAAAAAGUUUAUUUAGGACACACACACAACACCACCACCUUCCUCUUGUGAUUACUAUAAUCUCAACAGGGGUGGACAAAAAGUUUAUUUAGGACACUCACACAACAAUCACAAAAGCCUUUUGGGACCUGAACAAUAUGGAACUAUAAUCCCUUCCAGAGCAACAGCACCACAUCAU
rnacentral:lncRNA from 1 species